GGUCUUCUGAGGAGGAAACAGUUUGUUGGGCAUGUUGACCAAGAUGACACCGUCUCUGGCUGGACAGGCACUGGCCGGAAGUUCAGGGAGCAGAGU